rnacentral:rRNA from 1 species
UACAGAGGAUGCAAGCGUUAUCCGGAAUGAUUGGGCGUAAAGCGUCUGUAGGUGGCUUUUUAAGUCCGCCGUCAAAUCCCAGGGCUCAACUCUGGACAGGCGGUGGAAACUACCAAGCUGGAGUACGGUAGGGGCAGAGGGAAUUUCCGGUGGAGCGGUGAAAUGCGUAGAGAUCGGGAGGAACACCAGUGGCGAAGGCGGCUACCUGGACCAGCAUUGACACUCAAGCACGAAAGCGUGGGGAGCAAACAGG